rnacentral:rRNA from 1 species
CCUACGGGUGGCAGCAGUGGGGAAUAUUGCACAAUGGGGGAAACCCUGAUGCAGCGACGCCGCGUGCGUGAUGACGGCUUUCGGUGUGUAAAGCUCUAUCAGCAGGGAAGUAAAUGACGGUACCUGAUUAAGAAGCCACGGCUAACUACGUGCCAGCAGCCGCGGUAAUACGGAGGGGGCAAGCGUUAUCCGGAUUUACUGGGUGUAAAGGGAGCGUAGACGGUGAUGCAAGUCAGAAGUGAAAGCCCGGGGCUCAACUUCGGGACUGCUUUUGAAACUGUGUGACUGGAGUACAGGGGAGGUAAGCGGAAUUCCUGGUGUAGCGGUGAAAUGCGUAGAUAUCAGGAGGAACACCAGUUGCGAAGGCGGCUUACUGGACUGUAACUGACGUUGAGGCUCGAAAGCGUGGGUAGCAAACAGGAUUAGAUACCCUAGUGGUC